rnacentral:tRNA from 1 species
GUGGGUAUAGCUCAGUGGAAGAGCGCAUGCUUAGCAUGCAUGAAUGUAUUCAGUCCUGGGUUAAUCCCCAGGACUUCCA